rnacentral:rRNA from 1 species
UACGUGAGGGUGCGAGCGUUGUCCGGAAUUAUUGGGCGUAAAGGGCUCGUAGGCGGUUUGUCGCGUCGGGAGUGAAAACCAGGUGCUUAACACCUGGCUUGCUUUCGAUACGGGCAGACUAGAGGUAUGCAGGGGGAGAACGGAAUUCCUGGUGUAGCGGUGAAAUGCGCAGAUAUCAGGAGGAACACCGGUGGCGAAGGCGGUUCUCUGGGCAUGACCUGACGCUGAGGAGCGAAAGUGUGGGGAGCGAACAGG